CAGAGGCCCCUGGCAACUUGUGCCGGAUGGAAUAUAGCAUGAGUCCGUGCCCGGGAACUCAACCUGAGCUGCCAAAGUGGAGCAUGCCGCACUUCACCUCUAGGCCACCGGGGCUGGCCCUCACUCUUAUUUAUUUAUUAUUUACUGCUGGAGGAAUAUGCAUAUCUAUAUUCUCUUGACUUAUGCAUCAUUUUGGGGACGUUGGAGAACUGUAGACAGUUCUACAUGGACCUACAUGGUUCUGACAGUGAAACGUUGGCCCAUCUUUUGUUCAUCUUGUUCUACAGAGCUCGGCUGGUUUUACAUCUAAUCCUCAUCCUGGUGCUUUUGCUGGGCUGCUUCAGCCCAAACCAGCUGGGCUCCAGGGCAGAGAGCAGUAACUCAAUGGACUACGGCUGUGGUUGCACUGAUGGAUG
rnacentral:lncRNA from 1 species